GAAGUUGGUCAGGCAAUCGCUCCGAUUCAUAUCGGGGAGGAAAGUCCGAACUCCGCAGGGCAGGGUGCUCCGUAACGCGGAGACUCCCGGUAUCCCGGGAGAUGGAAAGUGCCACAGAAACGAUACCGUCCCGAUGAAUAUCGGGAUAAGGGUGAAAUGGUGCGUCCCGCAAUUAAGCGGGAUUAAAGUAAAAGCGCACCGUCCCGGCCGCGAGGUCGGGAGCCGGGUAAACCCCACCUGGAGCAAGAUCAAGCAGGAAAUUGGAAUGGCCCGUUCCGCUAAAUUUCCGGGUAGAUCGCUUAAUCCCGGCUGUAAAGUCGCGGAUAGAUAAAUGAUUGCCAUCCCGAUGUAUCGGGAGACAGAAUUCGGCUUAUCGGCCAGCUUCAGAU
rnacentral:RNase_P_RNA from 1 species